rnacentral:rRNA from 1 species
UACGAAGGGGGCUAGCGUUGCUCGGAAUCACUGGGCGUAAAGCGCACGUAGGCGGAUUGUUAAGUCAGAUGUGAAAGCCCCGGGCUCAACUUGGGAACUGCAUUUGAUACUGCCAGACUAGAGUACAGAAGAGGUGACUGGAAUUCCCAGUGUAGCGGUGAAAUGCGUAGAUAGUUGGGAGGAACACCAGAUGCGAAGGCGGGUCACUGGGCUGAUACUGACGCUGAUGCGC